GACGAACGCCGGCGGCGUGCUUAACACAUGCAAGUCGAGCGGAAAGGCCCUUUCGGGGGUACUCGAGCGGCGAACGGGUGAGUAACACGUGAGUAAUCUGCCCCUGGCUUUGGGAUAGCCACCGGAAACGGUGAUUAAUACCGGAUACGACCACUUCUCGCAUGGGAUGGUGGUGGAAAGUUUUUCGGCCAGGGAUGUGCUCGCGGCCUAUCAGCUUGAUGGUGAGGUAAUGGCUCGCCAUGGCUUCGACGGGUAGCCGGCCUGAGAGGGUGACCGGUCACACUGGGACUGAGACACGGCCCAGACUCCUACGGGAGGCAGCAGUGGGGAAUAUUGGACAAUGGGCGGAAGCCUGAUCCAGCAACGCCGCGUGAGGGAUGACGGCCUUCGGGUUGUAAACCUCUUUCAGCAGGGACGAAGCGCAAGUGACGGUACCUGCAGAAGAAGCACCGGCCAACUACGUGCCAGCCGCCGCGGUAA
rnacentral:rRNA from 1 species